CUCACUUAGCAGAGCGUCAGCUUGGGCAUGGCUACCCACUCCAGUAUUCUUGCCUGGAGAAUUCCAUGGACAGAGGAGACUGGUGGGCUACAGUCCAUAGGGUCACAAAGGGUUGGACAUGACUGAAGUGACUUAGCAGUCGUGACCCAUAGCCUGGGCAGGCCACAGCGCAUUGCUAACUGCUGUGAAACCAAGCAACAAGUCACUCCCCAGGAACAAAGGUGACGGCCACCAGGCCGCGGAGCCUUGACCUCAUCUCAUUUCCUACGUGCCGUCCACCCCAUAAUCACUGUGCCUCCAGGGAGCGUGCCCGCCAAGCAGCGCGUGCUGUCGGCCUCCUGUUUACAGAGCCUUUCUGGCGUCAGGUAGCUCCAGCUCCUGUAAUCUCUCUGAGGAUAGUGAUAGGGGCUUCCUGCUUGGGCUCACUGCUCCCAAG
rnacentral:lncRNA from 1 species